UACGUAGGGGGCAAGCGUUGUCCGGAUUUAUUGGGCGUAAAGAGCGUGCAGGCGGUCAGGUAGGUCCGUUGUGAAAACUCGAGGCUCAACCUCGAGACGCCGAUGGAAACCAUCUGACUAGAGUCCGGAAGAGGAGAGUGGAAUUCCUGGUGUAGCGGUGAAAUGCGCAGAUAUCAGGAAGAACACCCGUGGCUAAGGCGGCUCUCUAGUACGGUACUGACGCUGAGACGCGAAAGCGUGGGGAGCGAACAGG
rnacentral:rRNA from 1 species